rnacentral:rRNA from 2 species
UGCAAGUCGAGCGGAAGGCCCUUUCGGGGGUACUCGAGCGGCGAACGGGUGAGUAACACGUGAGUAAUCUGCCCUUGGCUUUGGGAUAACCACCGGAAACGGUGGCUAAUACCGGAUAUGACCACUCCCGGCAUCGGGUGGUGGUGGAAAGUUUUUUCGGCCAGGGAUGUGCUCGCGGCCUAUCAGCUUGUUGGUGGGGUAAUGGCCUACCAAGGCUUCGACGGGUAGCCGGCCUGAGAGGGUGACCGGCCACACUGGGACUGAGACACGGCCCAGACUCCUACGGGAGGCAGCAGUGGGGAAUAUUGGACAAUGGGCGGAAGCCUGAUCCAGCAACGCCGCGUGAGGGAUGACGGCCUUCGGGUUGUAAACCUCUUUCAGUACCGACGAAGCGCCGAUGAUGGUGGUGACGGUAGGUACAGAAGAAGCACCGGCCAACUACGUGCCAGCAGCCGCGGUAAUACGUAGGGUGCGAGCGUUGUCCGGAAUUAUUGGGCGUAAAGGGCUCGUAGGCGGUUUGUCGCGUCGGGAGUGAAAACACCGGGCUUAACUCGGUGCUUGCUUUCGAUACGGGCAGACUAGAGGCAUGCAGGGGAGAACGGAAUUCCUGGUGUAGCGGUGAAAUGCGCAGAUAUCAGGAGGAACACCGGUGGCGAAGGCGGUUCUCUGGGCAUGUCCUGACGCUGAGGAGCGAAAGUGUGGGGAGC